UCCUACUUCGAAGAACAUUUAUUUGCUGGAGUUUCACCCUUCUCUUGGUCUGAUGUGCUCAAUCCCCAAAGCUCUGGAGUGUAUCUACCAGGAGUUCUACAGCAUGUGUAGACCCAAAACAGCCAGUAGAGCAAUUAAACUAGAAAAACAAGUACUUCAGCUGGCACUUGAUGAGUGGCUGACUAUGGAAAAACCAGAAUCUUUCUACAGCUCUCAGAUUCAAAAAGAUUUGUUUGCAGAGGUACUGAUCGAGGACCCUGUGCUGGUACAAGAGAUUGCUUUGUCACUAUUAGAGGUGGGAGCAGACGAAGAAAGAAAAGAAGGCAAAGAAAGGCAGUUCUUUAUCCUGGAUUCAUUCUCCAUGCUCCUGGAGCUGAUCACACUCCGGCAUCGGUUGACUGAGGUGGCAACAGAGAGCGUGCGGUUAGCCAGUUUAUAUAAGGCUUUUGCAAUGGAAGCAGGUUUUGGGGAGUUCCAUUUGUAUCUGAGGCCAGUGCACUUCGAAUCUGCACUUCACAAGGAGAAAGCAGACCGUCUGCCACCAACGUUUAUUACUUCUCUGCUGGAAGAUGACAGCUGUGUUGACAGAUAUAUUCCAAGUAGCUUACCAUUAAGCAUUCAAGAGAUCGACAGUCAUGUUGGAAAAUUUAGUUUCAGGACCAGAGAUGGUGUUAUGCAGCUCUUGUGUCCAUCUGGAAUAAAGAGCAUGCAACUUAUCCUUGCCUGCCAGGUUGUUCAGAAAAAUGCUCUUUUGGCAGCUGUUCAGCAAGCCUCCUUUUGUUACCUGGUCCAGUUUACCCAUUCCCUGGACGUAAAGGUCAGUAACACCCUCCUCAAAUUGUACUAUUAAUAGAUUUUGUCAGACUUAGCAGAAAGAAGGCACCUGUUAAUUCUGCUUGUAAUCACUUGGAUGGUAAUCCUGUGAAACUCUUGGAACAGCAUCACCGAUGACUGAAGGAACUGCAGUGAUUGUCUAUUAGCAUAUGACAUAAAAAUAAAUGGUAUCACAUCUGUGACUUUAUUUAAAGU
rnacentral:lncRNA from 1 species